rnacentral:rRNA from 1 species
GACAGAGGGGGCAAGCGUUGCUCGGAAUCACUGGGCGUAAAGGGCGCGUAGGCGGCACGGCAAGUCGGGAGUGAAAGCCCGGGGCUCAACCCCGGAGGGUCUCUCGAAACUGCCGAGCUAGAGUGCGGAAGAGGCAAUCGGAAUUCCCAGUGUAGCGGUGAAAUGCGUAGAUAUUGGGAAGAACACCGGAGGCGAAGGCGGAUUGCUGGGCCGACACUGACGCUGAGGCGCGAAAGCCAGGGGAGCAAACGGG